rnacentral:rRNA from 1 species
AUUGAACGCUGGCGGCAGGCUUAACACAUGCAAGUCGAGCGGAGAUGAGGUGCUUGCACCUUAUCUUAGCGGCGGACGGGUGAGUAAUGCUUAGGAAUCUGCCUAUUAGUGGGGGACAACAUUCCGAAAGGAAUGCUAAUACCGCAUACGUCCUACGGGAGAAAGCAGGGGACCUUCGGACCUUGCGCUAAUAGAUGAGCCUAAGUCGGAUUAGCUAGUUGGUGGGGUAAAGGCCUACCAAGGCGACGAUCUGUAGCGGGUCUGAGAGGAUGAUCCGCCACACUGGGACUGAGACACGGCCCAGACUCCUACGGGAGGCAGCAGUGGGGAAUAUUGGACAAUGGGGAACCCUGAUCCAGCCAUGCCGCGUGUGUGAAGAAGGCCUUAUGGUUGUAAAGCACUUUAAGCGAGGAGGAGGCUACUGAGACUAAUACUCUUGGAUAGUGGACGUUACUCGCAGAAUAAGCACCGGCUAACUCUGUGCCAGCCGCCGCGGUAA